CAGAAAUUCCAGCUCUUUUAAAUGCUUCUCAAUGACAACACGCCUCUACUGUAAACAGUGUUGAAUCGCAUUGGAAACAGAGUCUAACCUGUGGUGAAAUAUUAGGAGAUAAUAAAGUUGUUUUUAGUGUGUGACGAGAAACCCGAAUAUUGCAGACGUCAUUCCCCCAGGCCCUGAAGAGCAGAACGACCAGCUGCACCUGUGCCAUUUUGCUGCUUCAGAAAUGCCUGCCUUUGAUUGACUGGUUCAAUAUUGACUCAGGCCAUUUGAUUAUGGAGGCUCAAUGUACCGUGUAGCGAAAGUCUAGCAACGCCAGUCUUUGAAGAAAAAAAUAAAAGGGAAACUAAACUGUACUGCUUCUCUUUCGGAAUACAAACAUAUUUGUUUGCUGAGGGGAAAUAAGAGGAAAUGAAGCUCACGGAAACUGUUGAAGAUGACUUCAACUGCCUCCCCUGUGACCAAAUUCACCACAGUGUCAUCCAAUGCCACCACCACCACCAAGUCCAGAGAACAAAUACUCACACAGAGCUCAGGGGCUAUGAUUGCCCUCAUCGUCGUGGCGAUCAUUAUCGUUCUAACCAUCCUGCUCGUUAUCCUAAAGACGUACAACAGGCGCACUCAUGUGUCCAGAGUGUUAGGAACCGUCUCCAAAGUUCCACCACGUCCAAAAAUGGCUUCUUCCUCUACAAUCCAUACCAGCAUGCCCUUGGGAAACCUACAAGACGGCUCUGCAUCCAGAAGCUUUGCUCAUUCAAAUAUUGAGUCUGGAAAUGGAUUCCGGCUACCUCGAGCUGAACUAAACAGCCUGGAGGAAAACAACUUGGAGCAGCAGAGUACAGUCAGCGAUUCGACAGUGGUCACCAUACAUGAUCCACCGUCAAUAGGAAAUACAUAGCAGAUCUCUAGCAUGUUGGACACAUGGUGAAGUCUGCAUGCUAUGUUGGAAAACAAAUAUGAACAAAGUGCAUAGGGAAGCAAUGGACACUAAGAUGGACAUAAACAUAUGCAUUUUUGACUACAGUGUUCAGGACUUGAAAAGAAUGAUUCUCCCCUCAGUGCAUUUGGGGCAGUGCAACCAACUUGAACUUGUCCUUGCUAAUUCUACUGUUGUGUUUCUGUCAAAGGUAGAUGUUGACACAUUCUUUAAUGAAUUCAGUUUAUUCUUAUGCAAGGUUUUUUUUAACAACGUCGUGGUUAUGGUUUUCACCAUACAGGGAAAAAUCAUGACAGUGUUUCGGAGAAAUGUCGAUACUGAACCACUGUGGAACUCCGGAAAGCAGACAGUUAUGAAUUUAUAAGUCCUAAUUAGUUUUAUAUCAAAUGAUUUUGCACUUUACACUAUCCAGUUUGUUUUGUUGGGUUUCUGACAAAAUAAAUGUUGAUAGUUCUAAUAUUGUGUGCAUGUUUCUACUACUAGGCUUUAAUGCAAUAUCCAAAUAAAAAGACAAUUCUUAUUUAUCCCCAAAGUUGGAAUAUUUAAAGCUUUGGAAAUGUAAUUUGCCACCAGAAAAACCUUUUCUUCAUCACUACUGUGAAAUAUUCCUGGAUUCUGAUGUUUUUUUGUCAAGAAAAGUUACUCUUGAAGGGGCUGUAUCGAACCUUCAGUACUGACACAAAUUUAGUAAAUAGAACAGACAAUAAUGGAGCUUCUAUAAAGCCGGGAAACAGCAUCCCUGUUGAUGACAGGAUUGUAUACGUAAUUACAUGCACACAAUGUAACCUUGGGUCACUGUAGCAAGCAGGUCCUGGGCCCUUAACAGGCAAGCAGUCAAACAGAAACCAGAGUUCCAAAAAGUGUAUUACCUGGCUCAAUAAACAGAAAAGUACAAAACUACUGACAUUUGAUGCCUCAGUGGGUAGACGGUAACACCAGCUUUGUAACUCGGACCAGGUCCUACCCAGUCCGUUUGCUUAGCUACUCUCACACGCUACCGUCCAAACUCCAGGAGUCCACCAACACUGCAGCAUGAAGCACAGAGCAAUGUUUUCCCGUGACCAAAAUGGAGCGGCUAAAUCCCCUGACCCGUGCCACCCCCAUACUGUUCCAACCAAUACCAUAUGCCCCAAAUGGGUUCCAUCCACUUGGCUAGAGGACAGAUUUCUUCAGUUCCUGGCUGAGGUUCCUGUUUUAAACAUCAAGGUAAAUUCACAGCUGUAUGUGCACAUACAAGCGGUUUCAUGCUUUUUCAAUCCAUGUCUCCCAUUCUGGAAAAGGGUUGGUGACGCUUCCUCUGAUCUUCGACUUGCACACUUUCAUCCAACAAGUUCCACUGAUUGAGCCGAGACAUGAAAAGCUUGGCACUGGACUUGGUGAGACCGAGAUCUAGAAUCAAGUCGUUGAGUUCUUUUUGGUUGGGGUAGUGUGGGUGUUUCUCCUCAGCUCCACCUCUGAAAUUCUCAUCUGGAUCUACAACGUCUUCCUCACUCCCGGAAUUGCUGCUUUCUUCUAUAUAUGGCUGGUCUCUCUUGGGAGGGGUGGGUACGGGGGAGCUCAUGGCAGUGAGGCACCGGGGCGAGGGAUGAAGGAAGGUCCGGAGACAUGAUAGCAGGUGCGUUCUUGCCAGUCCGACGUUUGGAGGGGUCCACCACGCAGAAGUGGCAGUUGCUGGAGUGGUCAAUGGGUUCCCGCCAAGUUCUUGGGAUAGCAAACUUCCUAGCUCUCUUUUCCCCUCAAUACCAUCCUACAGAAAUACAUUUAUUUCACCCAUGACUAAUGUGUGAGAGAUUCUCACAAAAUGUUUGCAUAUUAUAUAUUUUUUCAAUAACACUGAAAAUUGUAAAACAUUUUUAAAUUAAACUGAUAAUUUAAAUGUUUUUACAAAUUUUGUAACAAAAUUGCAAGCAACAAUUGUCCCUACCACCUUCCAGAGUUUUUUUGCAGUGCUCGCAGGUGAAAUGAGGUGCCCAGGGUUUGUCUGGAUUCCCGACAGGCAUGCCAAAAUAUGCCUUGUAGGCCUCACACAUCCUAGCAGAUGCUUCCACCAAGUACUUUUUCGUUCUUGUCUUGAUAAAUUGGCCGCAGACAUAGCGAAAUGCGUCUGCCGGAUGCUUGCAGCCUCUUGAUGCCAUCUCAGAACAAGGAACCAGGCAAGGCUAGUUCAGCCGGCCCGCAAUAAAAAGAAUUGCCACCUCGAGAUUCGAAUUGGGGUCGCCCCACGUGAGACAUUCGCUAGAUCUCAGUAGAGCCUCUUGUCUCUAUCCUGAACAAAUCCUCUUUUGCCACUGGCUGUUUUAAUUGUUAUUUGGCCAUUCGUGAAUGACACUGAUACAGUUAAACUGACUAACGUUUCUUACUAAGUUUACCUCCACCACAAAUAUGUAUAGCGUUUACCACUGGCCAUUUUAACAGCAUAUUAGCAUGCAAUAAGCUUUACUGGUAUCUACUAACUUACUGGAAUAGUCAUAAGAAUUGAUCAAUUGCUAGCGAGUCUGCCAAAGCAGUUUCAUUUCAUGGCAUAAGAACAUAUUUUUUUCUUUCAUGGCAAAACAACACUUUUUUCUCUUAUUGGUGAAUAACUUUUAUACAAUAACUAUAAAUAAAGGCGAUGAUGAACUUUUCCAUCAAGUGAAAAGACGAGAGAAUCGUGGAAUCUACAAGAAAUAAUUAAUAAAGGUUUUUGCUCUCAAUAGAUUCAAACUUAGGUCUUCCACAUGAGAGGCGCUGUCUUUAACCACUACACCACAGCAUUACAUGUUUCAGCAGUCGCUAGACUACAUUGAGGAUUAUGUUAAACUGACUAAAGUUUCUUAUUAAGUUUACCUCCACCAUCGUGUCUAUGAACUGUACUGCUUUUGCCACUGGCCGUUUUAACAGCUUAUUAGCCAGC
ensembl:lncRNA